rnacentral:rRNA from 1 species
GCGGAGGAAAAGAAAAUAACAAUGAUUUCCUUAGUAACGGCGAGUGAACAGGAAAAAGCUCAAAGUUGGAACCUGUUUGGCCUAGCUAAACCGGAUUGUAAACUGUAGAAGUGUUUUCCAGGCAAGCCGGACCGAUAAGUCCUUUGGAACAGGGCAUCAUAGAGGGUGAGAAUCCCGUCUUCGGUCUGAGCAUUUGCCUUUUGCGAUACACUUUCAAAGAGUCAGGUUGUUUGGGAAUGCAGCCUAAAUUGGGUGGUAAAUCUCACCUAAAGCUAAAUAUUGGCGAGAAACCGAUAGCGAACAAGUACCGUGAGGGAAAGAUGAAAAGAACUUUGAAAAGAGAGUUAAACAGUAUGUGAAAUUGUUAAAAGGGAACCGUUUGGAGCCAGACUGGCUUGUCUGUAAUCAGUCUAAGCUUCGGCUUGGAUGCACUUGCAGGCUAUGCCUGCCAACGACAAUUUGGCUUGAGGGAAAAAACUAAGGGAAAUGUGGCCCAUCCGUGGGUGUUAUAGUCCCUUAGAAAAUACCUUGGGCUGGAUUGAGGUACGCAGCGAAUGCUAUUUGGCGAGUUGGCUGGGAAUAUUUUCUGAGGUGCUUUGGUACUG